AUGAUGUCAACCAACAUCAUCACAAUGAGGCAAACAAUGUCAAAUGGAUGGACUGCUGAAGGCUGGACUAGCAUUAAAAAUACAUUCAAUCAGAAAUUUCCACUAGCUCAUUUCACCAAGCAACAAAUCCAAGAGAAGGAUAAGGAUUUAGAAGGAAAUUAUAAGGAUCAUCCAAGAAUAAAGAAGUUCCGUUCAAAACCAUUCAUGCUCUUCAAGUCAUUGGCUUCACUACAUGAAGGAAGUGUUGCUUCAGGAGACUUGAACUUCGUAUCAAUUCCGCAAGUGGAUCUCACAAGCGAUGCCAUUUCUCCUAUGGAUUCCUCUACCAAUGAUUUGAACCAUAUCUCCUCUACCAAUGUUGAUGAUGCCAACAUCAAGUUGUGGUACAUGAACAUCAAGUUGUGGUACAUGAUGUCGGGGAAGGAGUGGAGAAAAGACCCAAUAUGUGAGGGAUUUCCUUCCCUCCCAUGUUACCAUUUGGGAACCUGGGCAAUGAGAACAUCUCCCACGUGGUGGGAGGGGUCGCAUGUGCACAGGGGAAUCCCCCCUAGGGGUUUAUGGCCCAGGUUUUUUCCUACCCAUCAAUCAAACAAGGCCUGA
rnacentral:rRNA from 1 species